rfam:Canis lupus familiaris chromosome 32, whole genome shotgun sequence.
AGGAGGAACAGCCCCAGUGGCGGGGCAGCUCUGGAAACCUGGAUUCAGCUCCGGCAGGAACUCCGUCUGCAGGACCUGGAGGCUCCGGGGCGGG